UCAUCAGGUAGGAUUAUCCUUUCCUAUUUCUCUAUUCAGAAGCAGAUAGAACAUGAUGAUUGGAAUUCAAAUGAUUUGGUUAAUGUCUCUAUGCGAUUAGAGCUCGCAACCCUAAUCGCUUCUAUCUGAU